UGAGCCCGCAGUGCGCCUGCGCCCCGGUGACGGGCGGGCGCCCCGGCAAGAUGGCAGCGAGGAGCUUCGCUUCCCGCCUCAGAGGCUCCCGCGCGUUUCUGCGGGGCUUCGUGGCCGGGGCCGCCGUGGGCGCCGCGGGAGCCGGGCUCACGGCCCUGCAGUUGUUCCGGAGUCGGGGCGCCAAGGCCGCGCUGGCGGCGGGGGAGCCGGGCGCAUCUGCGGAGCCGGCCGUCCUGGAGCAGUUCGGAUUCCCCGCGGCUGGAACGGAGACGCGGCGGUACACCAAUCACGCCUUGUCCUAUGACCAGGCGAAGCGGGUGCCUCGAUGGGUUCUUGAACAUAUAUCCAAGAGCAAGAUCGUGGGUGAUGCGGACAGAAAGCACUGUAAAUUCAAGCCCGACCCCGACAUCCCGCCAGCCUUCAGUGCCUUCAACCAGGACUAUGUUGGAAGUGGGUGGUCACGAGGACACAUGGCUCCAGCAGGAAACAACAAGUUCUCCAGUAAAGCCAUGGCUGAAACCUUUUACCUCUCUAAUAUUGUGCCCCAGGAUUUUGAUAACAAUUCUGGAAUUUGGAACAGAAUAGAAAUGUACUGUCGGGAACUUACAGAGAGGUUUGACGAUGUUUGGAUAGUGUCUGGACCUCUGACCUUACCUCAGACCGGAAGUGAUGGCAAGAAAACAGUUAGCUACCAGGUAUGGACGUGUCUUAGCCGCCUGGCUGCUUUGUCUGGGAUCAUGACUCAUUCUGUCUGUCUGAUGCCUUUUUCUGCAGUGUCUAUCGAACACCUCGUGGGGUGUCAGAGUAGAGGAUGUAGGGAUGGGUACUGCAAGGAGCUCAUGUUCUAGAGAGGGAGACAGACAUGUUUACAGCGCGUUAGUGUGCCAUGCUGCAGUAGAGGUGAGUCCCCAGGGACCGCCACCCUGUGCUGGUGUGCUACUAGUGCAUAACAGCGGGAGGCGAGCUAGGACGGACAGGUGAGGAUAACAGCAGGAGAUGUGAGUAGGGAGGACAGGUAGGAUAACAGCAGGAGGUGUGAGUAGGGAGGACAGGUAGGAUAGCAGCAGGAGGUGUGAACUAGGGAGGACAGGUAGGGUAACAGCAGGAGGUGUGAGUAGGGAGGACAGGUAGGAUAACAGCAGGAGGUGUGAGUAGGGAGGACAGGUAGGAUAACAGCAGGAGGUGUGAGUAGGGAGGACAGGUAGGGUAACAGCAGGAGGUGAGCUAGGGAGGACAGGUAGGAUAACAGCAGGAGGUGUGAACUAGGGAGGACAGGUAGGAUAACAGCAGGAGGUGAACUAGGGAGGACAGGUAGGAUAACAGCAGGAGGUGUGAGUAGGGAGGACAGGUAGGGUAACAGCAGGAGGUGAACUAGGGAGGACAGGUAGGAUAACAGCAGGAGGUGUGAACUAGG